rnacentral:tRNA from 2 species
GCAGGAUUGGCCGAUAGGUGGAGGCACCGUCCUCAUAAGACGGCUUAGAGCGGUUCGAUUCCGCUAUCCUGCA